AGGCCAUGACACCCUCCACAUUCUAAUACUGCUAUGGCAACUCCAGAUUGUUACCUGCCACUGGACCCUCCCUCCCACCCUCAGAAACAUCACCACAGGCAGUGGCAUUCACUUGGGGCUCUGGCAACUUCAUCCUUGUUUAUCUGAUUAAGAACUCUCAUUUAUUGAAGGGCACAAAGUGAUUCUCUACAGUAAGUUAAGGGUGACAGCUAUUGUCAUCCAUGACUCCUUCUUAAUUAAGCUCUUUGACUUUGUUUGUUUGAAACAUCACGUGCUGGUUUCUCUAAACCUAGAUCCUGGAUUAAUGAUUGCCAGAACCAUCAGCAUGGCAGCAUGUUCCAGUGCUCCAACAGCUCCAGGGAUAGAAAUGAACCUCCUAGAACACCAGGUCUUGAGCUCCAAGCUGGCCAACACUCAACAAGAGCUUGAAAAUCUCAAGGAGAAGCUUCUUCCAUCUGAGCCUACUGCCUAUGCCCUGGACAAGCAGCUACAAAACACCAAUGUGAGCUGUGCAAAGUCAUCAUGCAGCCUGUGCUGGGGGAGAACAUCCAGUGUGAGGAGGAGCAGCUGGCAGAGAGCCCACCUGUCACCAAGAGGCUGAGAUGUUCAUGACCAUCUGAAAGAGCAAGAACAACGAUCCCUGGCAUUUCUGGCCCUCAGAACUGUGAUUGGAUGCUCCCUUUCUAUUGAAGAUUCCUCACAACCUGCAGGGUGAUGCUCAUGAACGCUCACACACUAGCAGCCACGAGUGUCUUGUCUUUGACCACCUGAUGAUGAAAGGAAAGCUGCAAUCAAGGAAAGUGGAAACCAUCGUGCAGAAUCCCAGUCUUCCAACCUAGGAUGCAGAGAUACCAAAGAUUGCUGCAGUUAUGAAAGGAUAUUGCAAAGAUAUAUACCCAAAUGUGCUGCAACAGUCAAAGAAAAAAUAUAAAAAAAUAUUGCAGAUAUAUAUGCCCAAAUGAGCUACAACAGUCAAAGAGAAAAAAAAAUAACACAAAACAUCAAUGCAAACAGUACAAUAGAAAUGAAUUUCAAUAUCACAUUCCACACUUAGCAAUUGAUAUUCCCACAGGCAGGUUGGAGGAAGGCCAUCAGAGUCCAUCAGCCUCCACCUGGUUAAACACCUAAGCAGACCAAGGCCCAGAGCCUCAGACUGUUGGGAGUCUUUAACUCUCAUUGCCAUCCUGCCAAGAAGCAGCAUCAAGACCAGCUGCACUGUGACAACAGCCCC